rnacentral:rRNA from 1 species
GACAGAGGAUGCAAGCGUUAUCCGGAAUGAUUGGGCGUAAAGCGUCUGUAGGUGGCUUUUUUAAGUCCGCCGUCAAAAUCCCAGGGCUCAACCCUGGACAGGCGGUGGAAACUACCAAGCUGGAGUACGGUAGGGGCAGAGGGAAUUUCCGGUGGAGCGGUGAAAUGCGUAGAGAUCGGAAAAGAACACCAACGGCGAAAAGCACUCUGCUGGGGCCCGACACUUGACACUGAGAGACAAAAAGCUAGGGGGGG